rnacentral:rRNA from 1 species
UACGGAGGGUGCGAGCGUUGUCCGGAUUUAUUGGGCGUAAAGGGCUCGUAGGCGGCCAACUAAGUCAGACGUGAAAUCCCCAGGCUUAACCUGGGAACUGCGUCUGAUACUGGAUGGCUUGAAUUCGGGAGAGGGAUGCAGAAUUCCAGGUGUAGCGGUGAAAUGCGUAGAUAUCUGGAGGAAUACCGGUGGCGAAGGCGGCAUCCUGGACCGACAUUGACGCUGAGGAGCGAAAGCUAGGGGAGCAAACGGG